UGCGGGGGGGGCGAGCGUUGUUCGGAAUCACUGGGCGUAAAGGGCGCGUAGGCGGCCCGCACAAGUCUGCGGUGAAAACCUCCGGCUUAACCGGGGGCCGGCCGUGGAAACUGUCGGGCUGGAGGCUGGGAGAGGGCAGCGGAAUUCCCGGUGUAGCGGUGAAAUGCGUAGAGAUCGGGAGGAACACCGGCGGCGAAGGCGGCUGCCUGGACCAGUCCUGACGCUGAGGCGCGAAAGCUAGGGGAGCAAACAGG
rnacentral:rRNA from 1 species